UAACAGUGAGAAAUCAUUGCUAAUACCGCAUAUGCCAUGAACAUCACAUGAUGAAAGUGGGAAAAGAGUAAUCUGCUAGUAGAUGGGCUCGCGUCUGAUUAGAUAGUUGGUGGGGUAACGGCCUACCAAGUCGACGAUCAGUAGCCGGACUGAGAGGUUGAACGGCCACAUUGGGACUGAGAUACGGCCCAGACUCCUACGGGAGGCAGCAGUCGGGAAUAUUGCGCAAUGGAGGAAACUCUGACGCAGUGACGCCGCGUAUAGGAAGAAGGUUUUCGGAUUGUAAACUAUUGUCGUUAGGGAAGAUACAAGACAGUACCUAAGGAGGAAGCUCCGGCUAACUACGUGCCAGCAGCCGCGGUAAUACGUAGGGAGCAAGCGUUAUCCGGAUUUAUUGGGUGUAAAGGGUGCGUAGACGGGAAAGCAAGUUAGUUGUGAAAUCCCUCGGCUUAACUGAGGAACUGCAGCUAAAACUGUUUUUCUUGAGUGUUGGAGAGGAAAGUGGAAUUCCUAGUGUAGCGGUGAAAUGCGUAGAUAUUAGGAGGAACACCGGUGGCGAAGGCGACUUUCUGGACAAUAACUGACGUUGAGGCACGAAAGUGUGGGGAGCAAACAGGAUUAGAUACCCUGGUAGUCCACACCGU
rnacentral:rRNA from 1 species